AGCUUUCUGAAUCCGUGUCGAGAUUUCGUCAGGCACCAGGCUAUCAGUACUGAUGAGACUUCCAAGAUAAAUCGAGCG
rfam:Schistosoma rodhaini strain Burundi genome assembly, scaffold: SROB_scaffold0002447